CUGAACCGGUCAGUGUAUUUUCACGACGGAAUCAGCGUCGAGCUCAAACCCGUUUAACGUACCGUCCAAACGUUUAUGACGUUUUCAAAAUUACAGUUUACGCUCGGUAAGUGCGCGGCGCGACGAUGUUGUUACACGCAAGUCGAGCGAAUACUGAUUCUCGCAAUUAAUUGCAGUAUGAUGCGUUUUGUAAUUAUCCGCUUCUGAACUGUGUUUAAUCACUUUCCAGUGAUCCAUUUAUUUACAGUUUCAACUUCGCGUUGUUAUCAACCCCGUUAGAGAGAGAGAGAGAGAGAGAAAAAAAAAUAAAUAAAAAAAAAAAAGUUUUCUCUUGUGACUUUUUCUCUUCGUCUUGUAUUUUUUUUUCUUCUUUUUUUUAUACCAACUGUGCCAGGCCCUUAGGAAAUGAAUGAUAUGACAGAUGACUUCUCGGGAGAUUUCCCUCAAAAGCAAUGAUUGCGCGAACUGAGUAUCACAAAGAGAGGUGAAAAGCCCGUUAUAUUGAAGUAGGAUCGUUAUAUAUAUAUAUAUAUAUAUAUAUAUAUAGAGAGAGAGAGAGAGAGAUACAUUCUACAAAGGUUUCGUGCAAUAUCUCGUGAACUUGUGAACAAUAUUUGAAACCCCCUUUCCUUCACAAGGAGAUUGUAUAUAGGAUAUACAAGUUGAUGCAGGCCAAGAGUUGGAAGGGGGGGAUGGGAGGAGUAUUGUUGUCCCUCGUCGAAGAAGAAGAACUUGAGAAGCAGUGAACUUGAUAAAGUUGGGAAGUGAGAUUUGCAAAAUUCAGGUCGCGAAUGAGGGAGAAUUCAGAAAGUGGAGGAGGAGGAUCAGGAGAGUGGAAAGACGAUUCUAAAAUAGGCUAGAGGGGGGGGAGAAAAAUGGUGCUUGAGGCGCCGAGUUUGUGGCAGGCUGGCUUUAACAUAUCUCAAUGGCUGAUGAUCAUUAUACAUGGAUAUCGUGCCACGGCUGUUAUACUGUCUCUUCUACUUCACGUACUUGUGAGAACUGACUAUCCCUCUGCAGUUACGGCCGAAGUAGUCGGGAUGAACGCCAAUUCGUUAGAUCGUACACUUAAGCCCUUAGACGUUGAUUUAGCGCCGACUCUUCCGAUGACUUUCGGCACUGAAAAUUCCACAGUCAUUUCAUCUCAGUCAGGCUCCACUGCUUUGUUACCGUGCGUUGUUCACAACAUUGGCGAAGGAGUGGUCAAUUGGAUUAAGAGAAAAAAGACACACGAAUUGCUAACUGUUGGUUUGACAACUUACGCGAGCGACGAACGUUUUCAAGCGAUUCACUUUCAUCACAGUGAAGAUUGGACCCUUCAAAUCAAGUACGUUCAACAAAGGGAUGCUGGAAUGUACGAGUGCCAAGUAUCCACCCAUCCACCCACUAGUAUAUUUCUAUUUCUCGAAGUUGUCGAGGCCCGCGCCGAAAUAAUUGGACCAGCGGAGAAAUUUGUACGUCCCGGAAGUACGCUUCAACUUCAUUGUAUGGUAAAGAAAUCGACGGAAACGCCGUCCUAUCUUUUUUGGUAUCACAAUAUACGAAUGAUCAACUACGACGUUCAGCAAGGUGUUAAUGUGAGCACGGACCUUUUGGCCCGCGAGAGUUGGUUAGAAGUGCCGCGGGCAUCCGUUCGUCAUUCCGGAAAUUACACCUGCGAAGCCAGCAAUGCUCAACCAGCGCGAGUUUUCGUUCACAUUUUCAACGGUGAUAAUCCAGCGGCAAUGCAACAUAGUCUGGCCUCAUCUCCAUCGUUUUAUUUGCGGGAAUAUUUUUAAUCGCGAGUGUGUGUUUCCAUAUAUAUAUCAUCGGUCGAGAGCAACGCUGGAAUUUUCAUUUGGACAUAUAAUGGCAGUUGAUUUUUAAGACAAUUAUAUAACGCGGAAGUCAAUUGCAUCUCCUCCCCUGGUUAUUAAAGCAAAUCAGCAAUCUCAUUAGUGACGUGUCAGUGACAAAACGCCGUUCGUUCUGAAAAAUAUUCAUCAUCUGGCUGGGAUCGAACCGAAAGUUUUCGCACGACAAAUGGUCCGGCUACUCUAACCAAUUGAGCCAUCGCGUUCUGAAAAAUAUUUCAUCUGGCUGGGAUCGAACCGAAGGUUUUUUGCAUUACAAGUGGUCCGGGGUACUCUAAUCCAACUGAGCCAUCGUGUUUUGAAAAAUAUUCAUCAUCUGGCUGGGAUCGAACCAAAAGUUUUCGCACGACAAAUGGUCCGGCUACUUUAACCAAUUGAGCCGUCGCGUUCUGAAAAAUAUUCCAUCUGUCUGGGAUCGAACCGCAAAUUUUUUGCAUUACAAGUGGUCCGGGGUACUCUAAUCAACUGAGCCAUCAUGAAUGUUUUGCAGGUUUCCUGAUGUUGAGCGAUAGUAUUUCCUACAACAAGGAAAUAUAGAGUAAGAUUUCCUCUUGUUUGGUGGUCCAUUUGAUAUAACGGAACCUCAUUUGAAUUUUUUGAAAAAGAUUGUGAGCAGCCAAUCUUAUCUGAUGGCGAGAGCUGAUUGAUAUACUGUGAUACGAGCUGGGGUUAAGCGCAACUCUCUCAACGACCCCCAUAGUUUUAUGAAUUGGCAGACUGAGUGGCGAACGAACAUUUAAUGCCUUCGAGUGCACACCAAAUUUGAAUUUAGCGCUUGGCGUUUUGUUAUCCAAUCAAAUGACUUAAAGUUUUGAACUGUGAUUGGCUAAGCGAAUUGGAAACAUCAGAAAUUCCGCUAAAGAGCGGAAAGUCGGGGAAACUCCUGUCAAAAAUUAAUCCCGUUUAGUGAUAAAUAUUCGUUUUGUAAUGUCAUUUUUUACAUUUUACACAAAUUAA